rnacentral:rRNA from 1 species
UACGUAGGGUGCGAGCGUUGUCCGGAAUUAUUGGGCGUAAAGGGCUCGUAGGCGGUUUGUCGCGUCGGGAGUGAAAUCCACUGGCUUAACUGGUGGCUUGCUUUCGAUACGGGCAGACUGGAGGUAUGCAGGGGAGAACGGAAUUCCUGGUGUAGCGGUGAAAUGCGCAGAUAUCAGGAGGAACACCGGUGGCGAAGGCGGUUCUCUGGGCAUGUCCUGACUGAGGAGCGAAAGUGUGGGGGAGCGAACAGG